UUAUUAUUUACAACGUUCAUCUGACAGGUUAGAUCAUGUGCUAUUUUUAUAGAGCAGGUUCUUACGGACAUGGCAAUACCUAAUAUGUCUACCUUUUUUACAUUUAUCUAGGUUUUACACCAUAAUAUCAUUUUUGAAA